rnacentral:rRNA from 1 species
AGAGUUUGAUCCUGGCUCAGGACGAACGCUGGCGGCGUGCCUAACACAUGCAAGUCGAACGGACUGAAGGAGCUUGCUCCUUCAGUUAGUGGCGGACGGGUGAGUAACGCGUGAGUAACCUGGUUCGAAGAGGGGGAUAACGCAGGGAAACCUGUGCUAAUACCGCAUAAUGUAUACGGACCGCAUGAUCUGUAUACCAAAGGAGCAAUCCGCUUUGAAAUGGACUCGCGUCCGAUUAGAUAGUUGGUGAGGUAACGGCCCACCAAGUCUGCGAUCGGUAGCCGGACUGAGAGGUUGAACGGCCACAUUGGGACUGAGAUACGGCCCAGACUCCUACGGGAGGCAGCAGUAGGGGAUAUUAGACAAUGGGGGAAACCCUGAUCUAGCAACGCCGCGUGAAGGAUGAAGGUCUUCGGAUUGUAAACUUCUUUGACGAGGGAAGAUAAUGACGGUACCUCGAAAACAAGCCACGGCUAACUACGUGCCAGCAGCCGCGGUAAUACGUAGGUGGCGAGCGUUGUCCGGAUUUACUGGGUGUAAAGGGCGUGUAGGCGGGAUUGUAAGUCAGAUGUGAAAUGCAGAGGCUUAACCUCUGAGCUGCAUUUGAAACUGCAAUUCUUGAGUGAUGGAGAGGUAAGCGGAAUUCCCAGUGUAGCGGUAAAAUGCGUAGAUAUUGGGAGGAACACCAGUGGCGAAGGCGGCUUACUGGACAUUAACUGACGCUGAGGCGCGAAAGUGUGGGGAGCAAACAGGAUUAGAUACCCUGGUAGUCCACACAGUAAACGAUGGAUACUAGGUGUGGGGGGUCUGACCCCCUCCGUGCCGGAGUUAACACAAUAAGUAUCCCACCUGGGGAGUACGGUCGCAAGAUUAAAACUCAAAGGAAUUGACGGGGACCCGCACAAGCAGUGGAGCAUGUGGUUUAAUUCGACGCUACGCGAAAAACCUUACCAAGGCUUGACAUCCUACUAACGAAGUAGAGAUACAUUAGGUGCCCCUCGGGGAAAGUAGAGACAGGUGGUGCAUGGUUGUCGUCAGCUCGUGUCGUGAGAUGUUGGGUUAAGUCCCGCAACGAGCGCAACCCCUGCGGUUAGUUGCUACGAAAGAGCACUCUAGCCGGACUGCCGUCGACAAAACGGAGGAAGGUGGGGACGACGUCAAAUCAUCAUGCCCUUUAUGUCUUGGGCUACACACGUACUACAAUGGCGAUCAACAGAGGGCAGCAAAGCCGCGAGGCCGAGCAAAUCCCCAAAAGCCGCCCCAGUUCAGAUUGCAGUCUGCAACCCGACUGCAUGAAGCCGGAAUUGCUAGUAAUCGCGGAUCAGCAUGCCGCGGUGAAUACGUUCCCGGGUCUUGUACACACCGCCGGUCA